AUUGAACGCUAGCGGGAUGCCUUACACAUGCAAGUCGAACGGAGUGGCGAACGGGGGCGUAAUGUAACGGAACGGGCCCGGUCGCGGGGGAUAAUUACGCGAAAGCGUAGCUAAUACCGCCUACUAUUGGAGCGGCCGAUACCGGAUUAGCCAGUUGGUGGGGUAACGGCUAAACAAGGCGACGAUCCGUAGCUGGUUUGCGAGGACGAUCAGCCACACUGGGACUGAGACACGGCCCAGACUCCUACGGGAGGCAGCAGUGGGGAAUUUUGGACAAUGGGGGAAACCCUGAUCCAGCCAUCCCGCGUGUGCGAUGAAGGCCUUCGGGUUGUAAAGCACUUUUGGCAGGAAAGCGGUACCUGCAGAAUAAGCACCGGCUAACUACGUGCCAGCAGCCGCGGUAAUUC
rnacentral:rRNA from 1 species